AUUGAACGCUGGCGGGAGGCUUAACACAUGCAAGUCGAGCGAGCGGCGGACGGGUGAGUAAUGUAUGGGGACCUGCCCGAUAGAGGGGGAUAACUACUGGAAACGGUGGCUAAUACCGCAUACUAUCGGAUGAACCCAUAUGGGAUUAGCUAGUUGGUGGGGUAAAGGCUCACCAAGGCGACGAUCUGUAGCUGGUUUGAGAGGAUGAUCAGCCACACUGGGACUGAGACACGGCCCAGACUCCUACGGGAGGCAGCAGUGGGGAAUAUUGCACAAUGGGGGAAAGCCUGAUGCAGCCAUGCCGCGUGUAUGAGGAAGGCCUUAGGGUUGUAAAGUACUUUCGGCGGGGAAGCGGUAUCCGCAGAAUAAGCACCGGCUAACUCCGUGCCAGCAGCCGCGGUAAUUC
rnacentral:rRNA from 1 species